rnacentral:rRNA from 1 species
UACGUAGGUGACAAGCGUUGUCCGGAUUUACUGGGCGUAAAGAGCGCGCAGGCGGUCGUUCAAGUCGAGUGUGAAAGCCCCCGGCUCAACUGGGGAGGGUCAUUCGAUACUGAUCGACUCGAAGGCAGGAGAGGGAAGUGGAAUUCCCGGUGUAGUGGUGAAAUGCGUAGAUAUCGGGAGGAACACCAGUGGCGAAGGCGACCAUCUGGACCGGUACUGACGCUAAGGCGCGACAGCGUGGGGAGCAAACAGG